AGUUCAUGAUAUCAACAUGGAAUUGAUUCAGAAGCAGAAGAUGCGGACUCUGAGUGCAUACAAGGGCUCAUGAAACUCUCCAGUCCUCUCCUGGGAAGGGUGUAGUUCUGAUCUUCAUAUUCAAAGCUAUAUGACUGGCCCCAUUUCCACAUUUCAUUCUGUGGAAGGAGGAAGAAAGUGGUAGAAGCUCAGCCUUAGUCUGAAGAUCCUGCAGGGAACCUGGAGAAUUAGAAGUUGUGUGACUGAUGUGGGUGUGGGUCUGUGUGUACACAUGGGGACUUGCUCUGGCAAGUUCCUCAGUCUGUUCUAAAAUGGAAUUGAGUGUCUCAUUUGUUCAGUCACGGUGGAUAUGUUUGGAAGGACAGGAAUAUCAAGCUCUCGGUGAGUAUAGACUGGACUUUGAUAUCAUACAAGGGCCCACAGAAAAAGUUUUGCCAUGAGAUUUUUUAAAAUUGGAACAAGAUCUCUUGUGUUUUGAUGGUGAUGCUGCCAUUCUGCUGAACAAGCUGGUUUUAUAAGAAAGUCUGCCUGAUAUUGCAUGGAAUUGUGUAAUUACAAAAGACAAGGGUGAAGGAGUAUGAAUGCAUUGGGUUUCUUUGGAUGAAUAAUGAAGUGAAAAUACCCUUUAAGAGUAACUGAGUAGUCUAUUGUUAAGUCUUUGAAGUUUGGCAAGAAGAGUUAAAAAAAUGUUUCUCUUAAAAUUGUAUUUGGUAUUUAAAUUUGAGAUACAAGGUUAUAAUAAUCUGAAGACCUUAGCAUUUUGGAUUCCUAGAACUUGUUAUCUGAAAACUCUCCCACGUUCUUACACUUAACUUCAUAAAAUUUGUAAAUUUGGUAAAGACAGGUUUUUGACCAAGUUUCGUUGUAGAAAAUUUGGAAUAAAAGGGAGUUCAAAGACUU